CAGCCGCCGCGGUAAUACGAAGGGUGCAAGCGUUAAUCGGAAUUACUGGGCGUAAAGCGUGCGUAGGCGGUGAGUUAAGUCUGCUGUGAAAUCCCCGGGCUCAACCUGGGAAUGGCAGUGGAUACUGGCUCGCUAGAGUGUGUCAGUGGAUGGUGGAAUUCCCGGUGUAGCGGUGAAAUUCGUAGAUAUUCGGAAGAACACCAGUGGCGAAGGCGGCUUACUGGCUCAUACUGGACGCUGAGGUGCGAAAGCGUGGGGAGCAAACAGGAUUAGAUACCCCAGUAGUCCCUGUCUCUUAUAU
rnacentral:rRNA from 1 species